rnacentral:tRNA from 1 species
GACCUGGUAGAAAAGUGGUAAUUCAGGGGACUGCAAAUCCCUCAUCGCGGGUUCGAUUCCCGCCCAGGUCUCCA